UGCUCCAGAUCAUCCCGUCCUCCCAGGGGGAAGGAAAUGGUUGCAAUGGAGCUGUCUCAGGUGUUUCCAGGAGUUCUCUUCUGUGGGGAAUGAGACCAAGAGAUAACGUCACACCACACCUUGUGUAGCUUUUCCAUAUGGCGUGACCCCUUUGUUCCAAACUCAGUUCCCAGUCCAGUUUGUGGAAAAAUACAGGAGCUGGUGACCUUCAAGGAGGUGGCUGUGUACUUCACCAGGGAAGAGGGGGCUCUGCUGG